GACGAACGCUGGCGGCGUGCUUAACACAUGCAAGUCGAACGGAAAGGCCCUGCUUUUGUGGGGUGCUCGAGUGGCGAACGGGUGAGUAACACGUGAGUAACCUGACCUUGUCUUUGGGAUAACUUCAGGAAACUGGGGCUAAUACCGGAUAGGAGCUCCUGCUGCAUGGUGGGGGUUGGAAAGUUUCGGCGGUUGGGUAUGGACUCGCGGCUUAUCAGCUUGUUGGUGGGGUAGUGGCUUACCAAGGCUUUGACGGGUAGCCGGCCUGAGAGGGUGACCGGCCACAUUGGGACUGAGAUACGGCCCAGACUCCUACGGGAGGCAACAGGGGGGAAUAUUGAACAAUGGGCGGAAGCCUGAUGCAGCAACGCCGCGUGCGGGAUGACGGCCUUAGGGUUGUAAACCGCUGUCGCCUGUGACGAAGCGUGAGUGACGGUAAUGGGUAAAGAAGCACCGGCUAACUACGUG
rnacentral:rRNA from 1 species